UCCAGACUCCUACGGGAGGCAGCAGUGGGGAAUAUUGCACAAUGGGGGGAACCCUGAUGCAGCGACGCCGCGUGGGUGAAGGAGUACUUCGGUACGUAAAGCCCUAUCAGCAGGAAAGAAAAUGACGGUACCUGACUAAGAAGCCCCGGCUAACUACGUGCCAGCAGCCGCGGUAAUACGUAGGGGGCAAGCGUUAUCCGGAUUUACUGGGUGUAAAGGGAGCGUAGACGGCAGUGCAAGUCCGGAGUGAAAGCCCGGGGCUCAACCCUGGGACUGCUCUGGAAACUGUAAAGCUGGAGUGCGGGAGGGGCAGGCGGAAUUCCUGGUGUAGCGGUGAAAUGCGUAGAUAUCAGGAGGAACACCGGCGGCGAAGGCGGCCUGCUGGGCUUUUACUGACGCUGAGUCUCGAAAGUGUGGGGAGCAAACAGGAUUAGAUACCCGAGUA
rnacentral:rRNA from 1 species